rnacentral:lncRNA from 1 species
UUGUUUACCUGUUGCAACGCACUGGCUCUUUUGCUAGAGGCAUGUCGCGGCUGCGCGGAGCGUCGAAUUGACGCCAGAGGGAGGAGGCUCGAGGGGCGACGGCGCUGCGCUGGGACACCGCAUCAGGCGGCGGUAAUGAGGCGGGAGGCACACAAAUAUGAAGGUGGAGAAAAUAGAGAGUCGACCGGGGCGAGGAGUUCGCCGGCUCGAAACCACGGACCACGACGACGCAAGCUUGGAGGGAGCGGUGGUCAUAGCGGGG